rnacentral:rRNA from 1 species
UACAGAGGGGGCUAGCGUUAUUCGGAAUGACUGGGCGUAAAGGGCGCGUAGGCGGAUGACACAGUCAGAUGUGAAAUUCCCGGGCUUAACCUGGGGGCUGCAUUUGAUACGUGUUGUCUGGAGUGAGGAAGAGGGUCGUGGAAUUCCCAGUGUAGAGGUGAAAUUCGUAGAUAUUGGGAAGAACACCGGUGGCGAAGGCGGCGACCUGGUCCUUUUACUGACGCUGAGGCGCGAAAGCGUGGGGAGCAAACAGG